AGCAUAUCAAUAAGCGGAGGAAAAGAAACUAACAAGGAUUCCCCUAGUAACUGCGAGUGAAGCGGGAUAAGCUCAAAUUUAAAAUCUGGUAGCUUCGCUGCCCGAGUUGUAAUCUGGAGAAGUGCUUUCCGUGCUGGACCGUGUACAAGUCUCUUGGAACAGAGCGUCAUAGAGGGUGAGAAUCCCGUCUUUGACACGGACUACCAGUGCUUUGUGAUGCGCUCUCAAAGAGUCGAGUUGUUUGGGAAUGCAGCUCAAAAUGGGUGGUAAAUUCCAUCUAAAGCUAAAUAUUGGCGAGAGACCGAUAGCGAACAAGUACCGUGAGGGAAAGAUGAAAAGAACUUUGGAAAGAGAGUUAAACAGUACGUGAAAUUGCUGAAAGGGAAACGCUUGAAGUCAGUCGCGUUGGCCGGAACUCAGCCUGGCUUUUGCUUGGUGCAUUUUCUGGUCGACGGGUCAGCAUCAGUUUUGACUGUCGGAUAAUGGUCGGGGGAAUGUGGCAUCUUCGGAUGUGUUAUAGCCCUCGGUCGCAUACGAUGGUUGGGACUGAGGAUCUCAGCACACCUUUAUGGUCGGGGCUCGCCCACGUUUGUGCUUAGGAUGCUGGCAUAAUGGCUUUAAACGACCCGUCUUGAAACACGGACCAAGGAGUCUAACAUGCGUGCGAGUGUUUGGGUGUAAAACCCGAGCGCGUAAUGAAAGUGAAAGUUGAGAUCCCUGUCGUGGGGAGCAUCGACGCCCGGACCAGACCUUCUGUGACGGCUCUGCGGUGGAGCAUGUAUGUUGGGACCCGAAAGAUGGUGAACUAUGCCUGAAUAGGGUGAAGCCAGAGGAAACUCUGGUGGAGGCUCGUAGCGAUUCUGACGUGCAAAUCGAUCGUCAAAUUUGGGUAUAGGGGCGAAAGACUAAUCGAACCAUCUAGUAGCUGGU
rnacentral:rRNA from 2 species